UACAGAGGUCUCAGGCGUUGUUCGGAUUCAUUGGGCGUAAAGGGUGCGUAGGCGGCGCGGUAAGUCGGGUGUGAAAUCUUGGAGCUUAACUCCGAAACUGCAUUCGAUACUGCCGUGCUUGAGGACUGGAGAGGAGACUGGAAUUUACGGUGUAGCGGUGAAAUGCGUAGAUAUCGUAAGGAAGACCAGUGGCGAAGGCGGGUCUCUGGACAGUUCCUGACGCUGAGGCACGAAGGCCAGGGGAGCAAACGGG
rnacentral:rRNA from 1 species